AUGAGAUACAGUGUUACUCUGCAGAAAAAUUUCAAAGUACAACUCCAAGUUUUCCAGUAUAUUUUUGCAUUCUUUGCCCCAGUAUAUCCAAUUAUUCCCACAGCGUUUCUUCUUUACAAAGAAUCAACACUGUUUGCUCUCAUCUUGAUAACAGAUCCAAAAGAAAAUGCCCCCUCUUGGGCUGGAGGUCUACAUGACUGCUCUCAAUUCUGGUUGUUCGAAAUCGUCCAGUGUUGCUGUUUGUGUUCAAUGCUGAAGACCUGGUGUCCAUGCCUGAUAAAACCUGAAGAUUCUUGCUCUGUCACCAGGCUGGAGUGCAGCAGCACGAUCUCAGCUCACUGCAAUCUCCCCCUUUCAAGUUCAAGUGAUUCUCCUGCCUCAGUCUCUCAAGUAGCUGGGAUUACAGCCAAAGAGGAAAAAGCCAGCAAAUGA
rnacentral:lncRNA from 13 species